UUUAUAAAUUGCUUGGCUGGGCUGAUGAGCCAGUGGAUUGUGCAGUCAGAUGGAACAGAGUAAAUAGGCAUUUUUAACUUUAUAGAUUAGCCAGUGGUAAAUUGUGGAAUAGACAGCAUCUGAAAUGCGGAUUUAACCAAUCUGCAUUCAGGAUUAGACCCACCCGUAGCUAGAGAAUAGUUGGAAAUUAACGAUACAUGACUGUAAUCCAUUUAUUUUUCCUAGAUUACUACUCCUGCUGCAAAGUUUCAGUGCAUAUGCAGAGCAGUUGAAGUUUGGACAGAAAGAAAACAUGAAGCAAACAGCUCCAUGUGUAUCAAUUGGCCUUGUAGUUGGACACUAUUGGAAUAACUUUAUCCAGAUUGGCAACCAGAAGCAUGAAGCAAGAUAUUCAAGAAUUGAUCAAAACUCCAAAGUGUGAGGAAAACACCACUUUCUCUUUAGCAUCCUCACUCCUGACCACAAAAAGGGAUAUUUGUCCACAGUCUCCAUCCGUAGUGUCUCAGCACUGUACUUCAAGAACAACAGCAAGCACUCCAUUCCUCCACAGAUAAUAGCAAAUGGCGGCCCCUCCUGUCCUACUCGCAGAACAGCAAGCAUCAUCCCCUCCUGCCUUUCCCCUAUAUCCACAGACACUCAUAAUGUAAGUUGCCAGACAGUAGAGUCCUCCCUUGUCCCCUGUGAUGCCUGUGCUCAGGUCCAGUCCAGCCUGAGGGAGACUGGUGAUGCUCUUGUGGAGCUGUGUCGGAGCGAGGGCCUUCCCACCUCUGCAGCGCCUCCUGGUGGCUGCGGAUGACACUAUGUAGCAGGGCCGUCUGACUGUAGGAGAUGUGUCUCAGUGGUCCACAGAGCAGCACAGGGACAUGGGUCAGGUGGGAAAGCAUCUGCUGAAGGUGCAGUCCACAGUGCAGGGCUCAGCUGGGGGAGGGAACAGGAGGAACUAAAGCGUGAAUGGGCAAAGGAUCAAGCAAGCCUCUCCCAGGCAUCCAGGAAGGAGACAGAGAGGAGACUGCAGGACGAACAUGAGGAGCUGAGGCUCCAUGUCCCUGGAGGAUAGCAACUCCAAACUGAAGGCAGAGAUUAGUUUGCAACAAGAAAGGUUACACAAACUCGAGUGUGAGAGAGAUAAGCUACAUCAGGAAGUGAAGGCCUUGCAGGUAGAGGAAGAGGCACGGAAUAAACAAGAGGAGAAGACACAAACACUGGAGGCUCAACUGUCCAGUACUCAGCUCUUACUUGACAAAGAGAACUCCAAGUACCAGAAUGCAUGUCACCAACAGGAGUCACUGCAGGCCAAGCAGAUGUCUCUAUUGGAGAGAGUGGAUGCUCUGGACCAGGAGUGUGAGGAGCUUCAAGGACAAUUGGGGGAGACUGAGGACACACAGACAGACCUACAGGAUAGACUGACACACAUCUCAGAGGAGAAGGACCAACUUAAAACCCAGCUCACCCAAGAACAGUCCCUGAGGCCUUGUGUUCUGAGCUGCAGCAGGAGAAGCAGAGAUUGGAGAGUCAUGUGAGCAAGCUGAAAGACAGUUUGGAUCAGCUGAGAGGAGAGGUGCAGGAGUUAGCACAGAGGGAGAGGCUGCUGGUGUCAUUCCCAGAGCUCAACCCACUGCCUCAGGGACCGCCACAGACUUUGGAUUCUCCCAGUCUGCCUGACGCUCCCAGAGAGAGACAGCUAAAUCCCACCCCCUACGUACAACACAGCCCUCUACAGACCUCCAGUGCAGGAGUGUUGAAACAUUGAUUGCGGAGGAAGGGAGCAGACAAAGGGGAUUCCAUCCCUGUGGUGAUGGGGCCUUGGGAUCACAUCUCUACCACCUUCUCUACAGCUCUGGUGCACCAGCGGACUCUACGGCUCUCCCCAGACACCAGCCAGAGCCUAAGCAAAGAUACGCCAGGCGUCCCAAACAUGCUCUGUUGGCAAUCUCCAGAGGAAGAAAUAAAUCCAGCACUGGGUGAUCAACCUAAUGUUGACCAUUUUUGGAGCAUAGUAAUGCCGAAAGAGGCUGAGGCAGAAAGAGGCUGUUAGAAGUAUAUGUCAGGCUUCUCCAUCAGGAGACUGCAGUAAGGCAUUGCAUUGUAGCUCAUACACAGUUGUUUGUGUAUCAGCUGAGGCAGAUGCAGAAAAGUUAUAGAGUUCAGGAUCUUGGCAACAUUGAGCUGGCUUGAAGUUGCUAUUUAACUGAAAAUGAAUUUGAUUAAUUCAAACUGUGGUAUCAUGUUUUUUCUUUCUUGAACUGUUGUGUUAAUCACUUUGCUACUUUGGAUUGCAAAUGUGCAUUUGUUGACUUCAUGCAUUUAGCAAAACAGUUUUAUCUAGUUUAGAAUGGUAAAGCAAUAAGACUGAGCAUAACGAGCCUAUCAAAGCACAUUCAUUAUUUAAGCUCAUAAAGAAUCUGGUCAUGCACAAACACACACUAAAAAUAAGUGUUACAAUGAUCAGUCUAGAAAAGGGAGUGGCUAGGUAAAAGACAAGCCAUGGUGUGUGUCUGUGUGUUUAGCAAAGGCUCUACUAUUGUGUCACCAACACAAUGCCACGAAUGCAGAUGUGUCUAAUGAUUUACAGAGUACUCUGACGAGGGAGGGGUAAGUUCCUAUGGCAACAUUGAUGAUCAGAGCAUGACAUCUUGUGUGGGUUCCCUCCUGUCCUUACUGUCAGUCCAACCCUUCACCUAUUGAGGAGUAUACUUGAUGGUAGACCAACCAAUUCAUUGUGAAGUAUGCUUCCCAUGGCAUGUUGGGGUGCAAUAUUUUUGUCCUUUGUAUUUCCUUGCACUAGAAAUACCAAAUUACUUUUCUGAAGGUGGGUAGUAGUCAUGGCGAUACCUGUGAAAAGCCCCAUAGAUCCAGACUGGAUACUGACUACACCUGAAACUAUGCAAUUCAAGCCCAUAUUAUUGUUCAUGCCUGUUAAAUGUUUCUGCAUGAGUUCAGUGGUAGCACAAUACUGGGUUUCAUUUUCAGGGAUAUACCUAGAUACUGAAGUAUUUGCGGAAUGCAGAUGUACUAAAGAAAUCAAUAAUUUCUUAGCCCACUAACUCACGAAUCCUUCUCCUCAGAGACAAACUUGCUUGAUCAAGUCUAACCUUGGACCUCAGAGUUCAGUCUUUCAGUUGAGCCAAUUAUACAGCUGUGUCAUCCCUCAAGCAUGUAAUUGAGAUGUGUCCUCCCCCGAUAGACAAUACAUUCAUUAUCUAUCGCAUGCUUGUCUCAUGAUUGACAGACUGAUUUAGCCUAAUUGUUAAAUUGUUGCAUGGAGUAUAAAAACAAAAUAUGUCAGACACAGUAUUUAUCUGAACAUGUAAAAUGGAGCAUUGUAUAAUCAAUUUAGUUAUUUUAAUAGUAUGCUACCCUGUAAAAAUAACAUUCAGAAUGCUGCUUCAAAACAUUUAUUUGUCACAAAAUAACAACUUAUUUUAGACUAUACAACAAAAAGACAUAUGGAUGUGAAAGUAUAGAGUACAUAGGUACAGUCAGACCUCAUAUCGCACUGUGCUUACUGAUACACAAAAGACAAAGACCGUAACUCAGAGGUGAGGAAAUGUUCAGCUUGCCAAAAGCACCAGUGUCAACACCUGCAACUUGCCCCCACAGGAAAAAGAGAGACACGGUGGAAGAAGGACAUACAGUCAUUUGCAGUUAGAAACUUAAACAAUGUGCAAAGUUGUACAAAAAUCCAUUGAAUAUUUUUGGUAUCCCCGCAUCCAAUAACAUUAGAUUAUUUCAAAGGUUAUAUCUGUUGUUCAAAUCAAUUGAAUGUUAUAUAGUCAUUUACGAUAUAAUAUCCUAUGAGUAAAUACUGAGAUUAUAACAGGGAAAACUACUUGGAUAGAGGAAAAAAAAAUACCUGAACAACUGAAUUUAGAUUUCACGUAAGCUUUGGGAAUCAUUCCUUAUUCAUGAAAACAUAUUUAAGGCCAUUGGUUACUUGUGUCAUAUAUUUAUAUUUAUAUUAUAAUAACUAAUAAAUAGUGAUAAAUAAGAGACAAAACAACAUAUUUCUGAGUACAACACUAAGUUGAGCUACAGACACUUCUGAGGCUGGUAGCCAGUAGUCAGGGAAUCAUGCUCAUUCUUCAUCAUUCUAAGGGCUGUGAUAUAUAGAAACUGCUAAUAACAUUAAGGCAAUGUUUUAGUAACAUUAUUAAAACACAGAUAAAAUGGUAGAUGUUUUACCACAAUCUCCAAACGUGACAACCAUGCAAAUCUACACCUAAUAGGUAACAAAAUAACCCCUUGUCAGGACUCGACUGAAAACUUCAGCCAUUGGAAUGCUAUGAUUAUCACCUUAAGACAUUGUUACAUCUUAGACACAGACAGGAAAGGGAGUAACUGUUGGUGAGAGUGCUGUCUCUCCGAGACAUUCAGUGUAAUUCAGCACUGUGUGAUCUCACAUAUGUGUUUUAUCAUCUAGGUCAAGCUAUUAGGCAGCUGCAGGGACCGCUGCAAAUCUGUCAGAUUACAGAGGCCUCAUGAGGAUGAGGGAUGUCCUAUGGCUGGCAUAACUCCCAAUCUCUGUUUGCCAAUAUGCUUUUAAGCAGCAGCACCACCACCACCAAAUACCCUGUUCUGGUACAUCAUGCACUGGGUUUGUACUUGCCUUACAAAAAGCAUGUAUUAAAUCAUAUGCCCAUAAAAUUGUCAGAGACUCCAGUCACCCAAGUCUUAGACUGUUCCCUCUGCUACCUCACGACAAGCGGUACCAGAACGGCAAGUUUAGGUCCAAAAGGCCCCU